rnacentral:lncRNA from 1 species
ACGUAUUAAUUUGUAAAAGGAGGAGAUUGAAGAUUUAUGAGUGAAGCAUUCAACACUUAUAGCCAAGUGUCAGAUAGUUGCUCUGAGAUUCUGCUGUUGAUAACACCUUUUCCUUAUAGAUUAAUUAUAUCUAAAAUUUCUGCUGUGAACUUUUCUUCGUUGGUACUUACUUAUUUGAUUACUUUUGCAUCACCCUAUAAGAUUGUCAUGUCCUCUUUGUGGUCAUAUCUUGAGAGGGCCAUGUUCAAGUUUCCUAACUUGAUGUCUCUCAUAUAUUUCUUAAGUCUGUGGUUUAAUGGCCUUUAUGUUACACCUAUAUAACAUUUGUUCUUAUUUUUUUUGACAUUAACCAAAAUGGCAUUUUAUAUAUUCCUGUUUUUUAGUGUUGUUUCCAUUCAUCUUUAUCAUUAUAGGAAUUGGAAGACAGUGGGUUCCCUUUUCAUCAAUAAUUUCUUGUGUCGUUUUUGCCUGGCCAAUUUCUUAAAUGUGUUGAACUUUGCCAUGUGAUAUGGGACAGAAAUAAUGCAUGCAUUCUCUUCACUGUAAUUUUCAGUUGUUUGUUGUAUGUGAUUCUUAUACUUUAAUUUGGCUUCAAAUAUAUUAGCUGAGAAGUGUUUAAUAUAUCUGUGCUUUAAAGCUGUGUCAAUUAUACAGGCUAG